CCAUCCAUCAGAUCAUUCCCUAUAAAUAUUCAUACAUAACCCUUUGAUAUUUGCAUUAUCCAAACACUACCCUUCAACCAAUACAUAGAUAUCCAAGAAUCCCUCCAUCAACUUCUUCCAAAAAUGGCUGAUUUUUGUCCUCCUGGAAAGAAUAUGUGGCCAGAACUUGUUGGAAUUGAAUCGACGAUUGCAGAGUAUAUUAUCAGGAAAGACAACUUCAGUGUGGAACGUGUUGAUACUAUCUUAGCUGGAAGUGGAGUGACUAAAGAUAUUAGGUGCGAUCGGGUUAGGAUGUUUGUUAAUAUAAAGGGAAUAAUUGUUGAAGUUCCAAUGAUUGGUUAGAAAAAACCAUCCAAAAAUGUUGAUGUAUUGACAAUGGUUUUCUAAAGUGUUGUUGUAAGCCAAUAAGGGUAGAAGUAUUCAUAUCUAUUGAAUUCUACCAUUUCAAUAAUCAAUUCCCUUCGCAUUUGCAUUUCAAAAUGUAUUUGAGAAAUUUAUGUUUUUUUUUUCUUUAGAGAUUA